UACGUAGGGGGCAAGCGUUAUCCGGAUUUACUGGGUGUAAAGGGUGCGUAGACGGUUGUGUAAGUCUGAAGUGAAAGGCGGGGGCUCAACUCCCGGACUGCUUUGGAAACUAUAUAACUAGAGUGCAGGAGGGGUAAGCGGAAUUCCUGGUGUAGCGGUGAAAUGCUUAGAUAUCAGGAGGAACACCGGCGGCGAAGGCGGCUUACUGGACUGUAACUGACGUUGAGGCACGAAAGCGUGGGGAG
rnacentral:rRNA from 1 species